UGUUAUUAGUUUUGCGCCUCCGAGGAUUUCUCCAAGGAAGUUAAUCGCGGCUUUGUUUCAAGGGUUGCUUUCGUCUACUGUCUCCGAAGAGAGAUCAACUCCAGCGGGUUAAAAAGAAAGCAUCAGGAUGUAUGACACUGGAGACAAUAUUGAACCGAAGUUCGCAUGUAUCAGGCAUCCAUCACAGAUGAGAGUUUCGCGGGUCUACAUCAGUCCUGUCAACAUUUGACUGUCAACAGAGACUUCCGUAUUGUUUUGGGUGUGGUAAUGAUCCUUCCGCAGGUUCACCUACGGAAA
rnacentral:misc_RNA from 1 species